rnacentral:rRNA from 1 species
AUGGGCAGUAAAGAGAAUGGAGAAGAUUAUGCGCAGCUUCCUUUGGAAUGGGGUGACGAGUGUAGCGGAGCCAAAUGUUUAGUAAACUGGAAGAGGGUGUGCUCCCCUAAGGAUCUGGGUGGCCUCGGAAUCAAAGAUAUUGUCUGUUUUCGUAGGGCACUACGGCUGCGAUGGGCUUGGCUUGAAUGGAGCCCCACCCCUAGGCCUUGGCUGGGCACUCCCAUCCCUUGUGACCGCACUGAUAGGUUGCUAUUCUCGGCUUGCACUGACAUAUCUCUGGGAAAUGGGAAGAGCACACAUUUCUGGCAUGAUCGUUGGUUGGAUGGUAUGGCUCCGGUCAAUAUUGCUCCUGGCCUGUUUGGUUUGGCGCGGAGGAAAACUUUGACUGUGCAGGAGGCUUUGGACCGUGGCCGCUGGAUGAAGGGCCUGGAGAGGAUUUCCUCUGAGGAGCUUCUCGACCAGUUUGUCAGGCUGUGGGAGAUGCUCCAACCCAUUGUGCUCUCGGAUAUCCCAGAUUCUAUUCGGUGGAAGUUCUCUGCUAACGGCUGCUACUCCGCUGCCUUCGCCUACAAGGGGCAGUUCUUGGGCCGUAUUGCAGAACCGCAACUACACUCUGUUUGGAAGAGCAAGGCCGAGCCGAAGAUCAAAUUUCACCCUUGGUUACUACUCUAA